CCUACGGGAGGCAGCAGUGGGGAAUUUUGGACAAUGGGCGCAAGCCUGAUCCAGCAAUGCCGCGUGAGUGAAGAAGGCCUUCGGGUUGUAAAGCUCUUUUGUCAGGGAAGAAACGGUUGAGGCUAAUAUCCUCGGCUAAUGACGGUACCUGAAGAAUAAGCACCGGCUAACUACGUGCCAGCAGCCGCGGUAAUACGUAGGGUGCAAGCGUUAAUCGGAAUUACUGGGCGUAAAGCGUGCGCAGGCGGUUUUGUAAGUCUGUCGUGAAAGCCCCGGGCUUAACCUGGGAAUUGCGAUGGAGACUGCAAGGCUUGAAUCUGGCAGAGGGGGGUAGAAUUCCACGUGUAGCAGUGAAAUGCGUAGAGAUGUGGAGGAACACCGAUGGCGAAGGCAGCCCCCUGGGUCAAGAUUGACGCUCAUGCACGAAAGCGUGGGGAGCAAACAGGAUUAGAUACCCUGGUAGUCCACGCCCUAAACGAUGUCUACUAGUUGUCGGGUCUUAAUUGACUUGGUAACGCAGCUAACGCGUGAAGUAGACCGCCUGGGGAGUAACGGUCGCAAAGNUUAAAACGUUCAAAAGGAAUUGACGGCGNGAGACGNGCCGACGGACGACGACGAGGGAGGAGG
rnacentral:rRNA from 1 species